CCCUCUGCAGAAUUUUCCUACUAUGGAAUGUCUGACUUUAUUUGUCUUUUUCUAAGGAGUCCUCUGCUGGCUUCCCUUAAAUAGGGCUGACUUGCUUAUUUCAAUCAGUUAAUUUUCUCCUUGUAAUUUAUUUAAUAUUAUAUUAAGAAAUAAUCGUGCUUGUAGCAUGUUUUCAUAAAGUAUCGUGUUUAUCUUAUAUCUCUUCAAGCAAAUAGAAAUUUUCUCCAUUAUACAUGGCAUUUUUUAAGCUUUUCACUGCAAGUUGACCCAAAGAACAUCAGCUUCAACAGAAGAAAUUGCUGGUACAGCUGCAUGAAAUUUAGACAGUGACCAGAUGUCAUCCCCACCGCUCAGUCUUUGCAGUUAGCCCUGCUGACAGCAUCUUCCUGACAGCGUUAUUCUGAGGAACAUUGUAACAUUGUCAAGUGCAGUAAAUCAGGUCUAAAAGGCCAGAAAAAAUGUAUUAAAUAAAACAGAGAACUGAACGACACAGAAAAUUGCCGAAAAGUUUUUUUUUUUCCUUCUUCCUUUUUUUUUUCCUGAAAAUUCUGGACAUCAGAAAAAGUAUAUGGGGACAGAGACAAGUGUUACACCUAAGGGAAUGCUCCCUCCUCCAAGCCUCUUGUCAGACACAUCUUUCUGUGGAAAAUCAAGUGGAACAUUGUCACUAGGAAGCACAGGCUGAACCAGGACAAUUGAAUUAUCUUUGGCAAAACAUGCAAAGAUGCCCUAGAAUGUAACUGCUAUUGUUGAUGCUUUUGACACUUCAGUUUUCUACAAGGAGGAAAAGUUCUUUUUUUAAACAAGUAGAUGAAUGUAUGUGCAUGUAGAUGUUGGAAGUCAUAUUCUUGUUAGAAGAAAAUUUAGCUGGUUAAAGCAGAAAGAGUGAGUGAUUUAGAAAGUUUGGGUCUUUUUCUAGAAAUGGUUUUAGUUGUGGUCACUUGCAAGGUUGUGUUGCACCUCUAACACAGUGUUAAGAAGCAGUAAGUAAAUAAAUAAAUGGAAUCACAGAAUGAAUCAGGUGGGAAGAGGCCUCUAGAAACAGUCUAGCCCAACUGCCCAGUACAGGAUUCAAGUAUUCAAUACUCUAACUAGUAAAAUGUAUCUAGAAUAGGUAAGUUUGAAUAAAUGAAUACACAAAGUAGAACAUCCACUUUGCCAGGCUGCGUUAAGUGAGGCAACAAUUAAAAAGUAACACGUGGAUUUUGUCUGUUGCAGCUGUUGUACCUGUUUAAAUAAAGGCAUCUUAUAUCUCACACUCAGCUCUGAAAGCCUGAAACUUCCAUGACAAAUUGUUCACUCUCUGAUCAGAGAAGUAAGUAAAAAUGUAAACUGUUUAUGUAAUCCUUUUCUUUCUGAUUCUAUCUUCAUAAUAUGCAUUUUGCAGUUAUUCAUCGUCGAUAUCCUACAUUCUUGUCAGUCCUUUUACUGCCAGAUCUGAAAUUGCACUUCCAAUCCUAUGACUUGCCUGAUCAGUUAUAGCUGUGUAAAAUAAAAUAAUAUGAUCAUUUGAGUUGGCUUAAACAUAACAAAGUAAUUCUUAUUUUAGGACAUUGAUCAUAGCCCCUGUUGUUUCUGCCAUCUUUUUAUUGAAAAUGAAUGCUAGACCUUCUGUGUGUUGGUAUCUUUUCUGAGAUUAUAAAUUGUACUCUUCCCAACCUGAUAACAACCACAAGAGGGUUAUUAUAUUUAUGUCAAAUUAACUAUUCAAUUUAUUUAGUCACAGUCACCUCUUUGAUUUUAAUACAAAUGUUGAAACACUACACAUUUUCAAAA